UGAGCUUCUCAUAUGCACAAUUUUGUGUGUAAUUUUGCAUGACAGACAUAUUUUUGCAACCAGUUUUCUCUAACACAUAAAAAUGCAGCAUUUUAGAGAAAAUUGGUUGCAAAACUAUGUCUGUUACACAAAAUUACACACAAAACUGUGCAUAUGAGAAGCUCA